AGUUUGAUCCUGGCUCAGGAUGAACGCUAGCGGCAGGCUUAACACAUGCAAGUCGAGGGGCAGCAUAAUGGAUAGCAAUAUCUAUGGUGGCGACCGGCGCACGGGUGCGUAACGCGUAUGCAACCUACCUUUAACAGGGGGAUAACACUGAGAAAUUGGUACUAAUACCCCAUAAUAUCAUAGAAGGCAUCUUUUAUGGUUGAAAAUUCCGAUGGUUAGAGAUGGGCAUGCGUUGUAUUAGCUAGUUGGUGGGGUAACGGCUCACCAAGGCGACGAUACAUAGGGGGACUGAGAGGUUAACCCCCCACACUGGUACUGAGACACGGACCAGACUCCUACGGGAGGCAGCAGUGAGGAAUAUUGGUCAAUGGACGCAAGU
rnacentral:rRNA from 1 species